rnacentral:rRNA from 1 species
AUUGAACGCUGGCGGCAGGCCUAACACAUGCAAGUCGAACGAGUGGCGGACGGGUGAGUAAUGUCUGGGAAUCUGCCUGAUGGAGAGGGAUAACUACUGGGCACGGUUACUGAUAACGCAUUCCACCGGAUGUGCCCAGAGGGGAUUAGCUGGUUGGUGGGGUAACGGCGCACCAAGGCGACGAUCCCUAACUGGUCUGAGAGGAUGACCGGCCACACUGGGACUGAGACACGGUCCAGACUCCUACGGGAGGCAGCAGUGGGGAAUAUUGGACAAUGGGCGAAAGCCUGAUGCAGCCACGCCGCGUGUAUGAAGAAGGCUUGCGGGUUGUAAAGCACUUUCAGCGGAGAGGCGGUACCCACAGAAGAAGCACCGGCUAACUACGUGCCAGCAGCCGCGGUAAUUC